UUCUGACCAACCACCUCCUCCCAUCGAUCCAACCCAUGAAGCAUGGAAGCCCCGCAGGCAUCCAGCGCGCCCACAAGCUCCUUCUCCCCGAUGCCCAUCGUCCCCGCCAUGGUUUUGGAGCUCACCUCGGUCGCUGAUCCGAGCCGCCCCGGGAACCGACGCCGCUGGAGUCCCUCCUCACCUACAAGACCACCGCCGCCCUACCACCUUGUCUCCUCGUCCGACGCGACUCCUGCCUCCUCUGCUUCACCCUGCACCGAACGACAAGCCGCAGCUGUCGUCCCUCCUCACCUAUAAGACCACCACCGCCCUACCACCUUGUCUCCUCGUCCGACGCGACUCCUGCCUCCUCUGCUUCACCCUGCGCUGAACGACAAGCCGCAGCUGUCGUCCCAAGGUCCAGGCCGUCGUCGCGUGCCCAAGCUCCUCCGACCCCUACAGACUCAUCUCCCGCCGUGCUAGUGACCAGUGGCUGAUCGCCGGAGCACACUGAACCAGCAGCUGCUCCAGGCCGUCGCGCCAGUCUUCCUCGCCCUCUGAAGACCUAGACAACCAAGCCGUGCCCUCCUUCUCCUCCUUCCCUGCUGCUCUCUCUCUCUCUGAAAGUCCCUGCCUCCCAUCCUUGCAGGUGUGGUCGUCGACCGCCAUGGCACCGCUGCCCUCGUUGUUCACCAGGAUGGGUCCCGAUCUGGAUCGCUCUGCUGUCGGGUCCAAGCCGCCGCCGUCCCAGGCUCCUGCAGUCGCGCCACCAUCAUCCCGGACAUCCCUGCUUUGCCUUGUCCAUCCCCUCGGUCUCUACUUCCUUUUGCACCAAGCCCGAGCCAGAGGAUGAGCAGAUCAUUUGAUCCCCGCUCCCCUGCCUCGCGUUGACCGUGCCUACAGCACGCCAGGCCGCAACGCAACCACUUUCCCCUGCCGGCCCCCCUCUUCGCCAGCUGGGAUUGGCCCAUGGGUGAGCCACAAGUGCCCUCCUAUUUUUUCAUUGUUGGGCCAGCUAGAUAUGGCCCGAUGUGUUUUUUUCGUUAUGCAAAUUUAUCAUUUAACCUGGUCAUUGCAUAUUUACAGGAUAUGCCAUCAUAUUGAAAUGCUCACAACUAAAUAACCGUGCAUCGGAUUAAAAUGUUUUAUAUACUUAAAAUGCUUAGAAUUUUGUGUAGUCUCAUAAUAUACAACUUUCAAGAAUGUUUAAAAUGUUUAAAAAUGUUGUUUGAUUAAAUUUGCUCAAAUGCCAUGCUAAAAUGAUUUAUUUCAUAACUAAUUAACCGUAGCUCCAUUUUAAAUAAACUUUAUAUGUAAAUGGGGUAGAAAAUGCCUAGUUUAACAUGGUGGCAUUACUUUGCAUGUUUAAUAACUAUAAAAUUGUGUUUAGGGCAGAACAGUACCAAAUUCAAAUAUUGCAUAUGGGGAUUUUCUGGAAUUGUUGCUUGUUGUUCCGGCCUCAUUUAAACUUGUCUAGAUAGGUAGUUUUAUUAUGCUUCACCCCUUGCCAUGCUAACCAACAUUUAAUUUUGUUGAGUACAUAAACGGGAGAGAACUAAAUAAGUCAUGUGGUGUUUCAUCAAUAUGCAACUCGUUGCAUAUUGAGUUCCACUUAACUUGUAGUUUUGCUUGUGCACUUUGCCAUGCCAUGCCUCAUUAAACCGGACAUGCAUCAUACUUGGUUGUGCAUCAUGCCAUGUUUAUGUGAUGGUUGUUUACUAUGUUGCUUGCUUCCUUCUGGGUUGCUUCUCUCUUUAGCUUCGGUUCCGUUUCGGAGUUGUGAGGAUUCGUUCGACUACGUCCGUUUGCCUUCUUCAUGGACUUGUUCUUCUUCCUUGCGGGAUCUCAGGCAAGAUGGCCAUACCAUCGAAAUCACUUCUAUAUUUGCUUUCUAGUUGUUGGUGUCAAAACCGGUGGAUCUCGGGUAGGGGGUCCCGAACUGUGCGUCAAGGAUCGAUGGUAACAGGAGACGGGGGACACGAUGUUUACCUAGGUUUGGGCCCUCUCUAUGGAGGUAAUACCCUACUUCCUGCUUGAUUGAUCUUGAUGAAUAUGAGUAUUACAAGAGUUGAUCUACCACGAGAUCGUAAUGGCUAAACCCUAGAAGUCUAGCCUAUGUGGGUAUGGUAAUGAGUAUAUGUAUCUGGCCUUUCCGGACUAUCCCCUUCGGUUUAUAUAGACACCGAGGGGAUCUAGGGUUUACAUGGAGUCGGUUACAUAAAAAGGAACCUUUGGUCGCCAAGCUUGCCUUCCACGCCAAGUAGAGUCCAAUCCAGAUAUGGUGCAGUCUUCGGCCUUCAUGUCUUCACAACCCAUCAGUCCGGCCCAUGGAUAACAGGCCGGACGCCCAAGGACUGCUUAGUCCAGGACUCCCUCACUAGUUGUUCGCUCUACCGCUAUGUCGCGCUACCUACCACUUGCUUAUCAUGCCUCCCAUAUUGCCAUGUGAAGCCUCUAACCCACCUUUCCUAGCAAACCAUUGUUUGGCUAAGUUACCGCUUUGCUCAGCCCCUCUUAUAGCGUUGUUAGUUGCAGGUGAAGCUGAUGUUUGUUCCAUGUUGGAACAUGUAUAUGUUGGGAUAUCAUAAUAUCUCUUAUUUAAUUAAUGCAUCUAUAUACUUGGUAAACGGUGGAAGGCUCGGCCUUAUGCCUGGUGUUUUGUUCCACUCUUGCCGCCCUAGUUUCCGUCAUACCGGUGUUAUGUUUCUUGAUUUUGUGUUCCUUACGCAGUUGGGUGUUAUGGGAACCCCUUGACAGUUCGCUUUGAAUAAAACUCCUCCAGCAAGGCCCAACCUUGGUUUUACCAUUUGCCUCACCACCACCUAUACUUUUCCCUUGGGAGUCGCGCUCCCGAGGGUCAUCUUUAUUUUAACCCCCCGGGCUAGUGCUUCUCUAAGUGCUGGUCUGAACCGAGCCGCCUGCGGGGCCACCUCGGCGAAACUCGAGGUCUGGUUUUACUCGUAGCUUGUCUCAUUCGAUGUUGCCCUGAGAAUGAGAUACAUGCAACUCCUAUCGGGAUUGUCGACACAUCGGGUGGCUUUGCUGGUCUUGUUUUACCAUUGUAGAAAUGUCUUGUAACUAGGAUUCCGAAUCUGAUCGGGUCUCCCUGGGAGAAGGAAUAUCCUUCGUUGACCAUGAGAGCUUGUGAUGGGCUAAGUUGGGACACCCCUGCAGGGUAUAAACUUUCAAGAUCCGUGCCCACGGUUAUGUAGCAGAUGGGAAUUUGUUGACAUUCGGUUGUAGAGAACUUGACACUUAACUUAAUUAAAAUGAAUCAACCGUCUGUGUAGCCGUGAUGGUCUCUUCUCAGCGAGUCCGGGAAGUGAACACGGAUCUUGUGUUAUGUUUGAACGUAAGUAGCUUCAGGAUCACUUCUUGAUCACUUCUAGCUUCUCGACUAUUGCAUCGCUUCUCUUCUUGCUCUCAUUUGCGUAUGUUAGCCACCAUAUGUGCUUAGUGCCUGCUGCAGCUCCACCUCAUUACCCUAUCCUACCCAUAAGCUUAAAUAGUCUUGAUCUCGCGGGUGUGAGAUUGCUGAGUCCUUGUGACUCACGGAUACUUCCAAACAGUUGCAGGUGCCGAUGAUGCCAGUGCAGGUGACGCAACCCCGCUCAAGUGGGAGCUCGAUGAAGAUCUUGAUCAUUGUUUUGUUUCGUUUCCCAUUGAUCAGUAGUGGAGCCUAGUUGGGGCGAUCGGGGAUCUAGCAUUUGGGGUUGUCUUCCUUUAUUUUGGUUCCGUAUUCGGACCUUGUUUGUAAUUUGUAUGAUGUAUGUUUAACUUGUAUUUGUGUGAAGUGGUGAUUGUAAGCCAACUCUUUAUCCCUUUUUAUUCAGUACAUGGGAUUGUGUGAAGAUUACCCCUCUUGUGACAAACCUACCAUGCUGCUAUGCCUCUAAGUCGUGCCCCGACACGUGGGAGAUAUAGCCGCAUUGUGGGUGUUAUAAGUUGGUAAUCAGAGCCAUCCCCGACUUAGGAGCCCCCUGCUUGAUCGAAUCGCUGACGUUGUUGAGUCUAGAACAAAAUGUUUUGAGUCUUAGGAUUAUAUAUAUCAGAGAGUAGGAUUAUUUUUACUCCCCUAUCCCUUCAUCGCUCUGGUGAGGCCUCCUGACGUAGAAGUUUUGACUCUCCUCUCCUCAAAUUUCACGAUUUUUUUAGAAUCACACGGGUAUCUUGGAAUCGUUCUGAUAGUCUUGUGACGAGAACAUUGUUCUUGGUGCCUCCUGACAUUUAGGGGUUGUGGUAGUGUCCCGGGGAGUUGAGCUCGGAGGUGUUGUCGUCACAAUUUUAUCGCUGGAGUUCUAGAAUACCUGAGUUCGCUGAAAUCAAAAAUCUCUUUUAUUCAGUUGUUGGUGAGAUAACCUCGAAGCCACCCAGUACUGGGCGGGAGUUCGGGAGUAUUGCCAUAACUCAUAUAACAGAUGCUUUUUGUAAGUGCAUCUAGUGCCACCCCUAGUUGGUUUUGGAGUAUUGACGACAAAACUAGUUGAGGGACUAAUGUGUUUAUGAGAAUUGCAGGAUAACACAGGUAGAAGUCCCUCAUUGAUUCGGUUUUCCUACCAGAGAUGACCCCUAAAAAUGUAUGAAGACAUUGAAGUCAAAGGUGGUAUAUGAAGAUAUUCACAUUGAAGACUAUGACAAGAGAAGACAUCGCAUGAAGCCUAUGGAGCUCGAAGACUUAGAUCUUUCGUAGUUCUUUUUCUUCCUCUUUGUUGAGUCAUAGGAACCACCGUACUGUUAAGUGGGGUCCAAGAAAACCAGUCAGAAUGACUGAAGUGAUGCUUAAACAAAACCCAUGUCUUCGAGUGAAGACUUUGAGAGCGAAUCUUGUCCAGAGUCGGACAAGUCAGCUUUGCUUGUAGCCCAAGUAAAGUUGUCGUGUGAGUUUGAAAUCUGACCGUUGGAACACGUGUCAGUUCCUUAGUGACCCAGGGUCAUUUCGGACAAAUCAGGUCGGGUUGCCAAGUGGCUAUAAAUAGCCCACCCCCUACAACCAUAAACGGUUGGCUGCUCAGAUUCAGAGUAUGGCUUUUGUCGUUUGAGAGCAACCCACCUCGAAGCCUUUGAGAGAGAAUUCCUUGCGAGGAUAAAGCCCUAACCACCCAGAGCCAAAGAGAAUUAGGCAUCACUUAAGUCUUCUUGUCUGUGUGAUCUGAAGACUUAUUACACUUGAGGACUAUGAAUCCUCCAACCGGUUAGGCGUCGCGUUCUGAGCAUCCAAGAGACACUGUGGAUUGCCGGUGAACAAAGUCUGUGAAGGUUUGGGAGUCUACCUUGAAGACUUACCAGAGUGAUCGGGCGAGGUCUGUGUGACCUUAGCUCAAGGGGAAUACAGUGAGGACUGGGUUUCCUGAGCUGCGUGUUCAGGACUGGGUGUCCGGGACUGUGUGUCCUAAGGUUUAAAUACCUAGCCGCCCUAACCAGACGUACAGUUGUCACAGCAACUGGAACUGGUCCAACAAAUCAUUGUCUUCAAUGAGUCACUGGUUUCAAAUUUUCCUUCCCUUUACUUACUGUUGGUCCUUGUGAAGUCAUUGUAUGAUUGCACUAUCUUUUAUCUUCACUGAGUGAUUGUGUUUUCUGUUUGGCUUCAUAAUAUCUUCCUACCUGAUCCUUACUACAUUGCUGCUAUUAGUCAUUGUGCUUUCACUCCAUUGAAUACUUGACUAUGGCUUGCCUAGUGUAGUCUACCUUCCGCUGCAGGGUAAUAGGUUUAUUUCUAUCGUUUAUCCUCAUAACUUCCAUGUUUUGAAGAAUUUCAUAAAAAUCGCCUAUUCACCCCCCCCUCUAGUCGAUAUAACACACUUUCAAUUGGUACCAGAGCAAGGUGCUCCCUUGUUCUGUGUGAUUUGGUUUAACCACCUGGAGUUUUAGCUAUGUCAACUGCAGGGAUAAUUAAAGUCUCCGCUGCGUGCCCCGUCUUCGAUGGAACUGAAUAUCCCUACUGGAAGAAUAAGAUGCACAUGCAUCUUUAAGCCAUUGACGUCGACCUAUGGUAUGUCGUCAAGAACGGCGUUCCCAAGGCUAGAGAAGGUGUCACUGCUGCUGAUGUCAAGAAGUUCGUUCAAUUGGACUCUACUGCCAAGAAUAUCAUCUGUGGUUAUCUGACCAAAGGACAGUAUGGCUGUGUGGGUGGUUUGGAAACAUCUAAGCUGGUCUGGGACUGGCUCUCCAAGGUCAAUGAAGGCGUCUCAACCCAGAGAUAUCAGAGAAUCAGUGUCCUUCGCAACCUCUUCAACCGCUUCAAGCGAAAUGACAAUGAGAAUGUCCAGCUCACAUUUGACCGACUCACUGACAUCACAAAUGAGCUUCAAGCCCUCGGCGCUACUGAGAUCACCAAGCAUGAAGUCGUCAAGACACUACUUAAAUCACUUGAUAGUUCGUUUGACACCCUAGCCCUGAUGAUUCAAGAACGUCCUGAUUUCAAGACACUCGAUCCGUCUGACAUACUUGAGAGGCUCAACACACAUGAGUUUCAUCUUUCUGAGAAAAGAGAUAUCUACGGUCCAAACUAUGGGCGAACUCGUGCUUUGAAGGCAAAAGUUGUCUCCUCAUCUGAAGAAGAAUCUGACAGCAGUUCGGAUGAUCCUGAAGACAUUGGAAGGGAACUUGCUAUGCUUGUGAAGAAGUUCCAAAAAUUCACCAAGAAGAAAGGUUUCAGAAAGUCUUCCCGAUCAAGCUCAAGGAAUGAUGAAGCUUCUGCUCACGACUACAAGAAGAAAACAUGUCACAAGUGCAAGAAACCUGGCCACUUCAUCUCUGAGUGUCCGCAGUGGGACAAUGAGAACAAAAAGAAGAACAAGAUCAAGGAAUAUGACUCUGACGACAAGAAGAAGAAUAAAUACUCAAAGUCUUCUUCCAAGUCUUCCUCAAAGUCUUCAUCACACAAGAAGAGCUCAUCUAGCAAGGCACGUGUAUUUGUUGGCAAGGAAAUGGAUUUAGAGGAGGAGUCCGCUUCUGAGGAGGCGGAGGUGGAGUCUGAGGAGGAGUCCGAUUCAGGCGUCGCAAGUCUGGCUACAGCAUACGUUGCCAAGUCCAUCUUCAACACUGAAGACAAUGACGUCAUCACCGACACCGAUGCAAAUGACAAGGACUACUCCGCUUCGACCUACUGCUUCAUGGCACGCGGUGCCAAGGUAAACAUACGCACUACUCACUAUCAAACAUCUAGUGACGAUGACUCUGAUUGUGGUUGAAAACCCAGCUACAAAACACUUGCUAAAAUUGCAACUGUACAACAGAAAGCUAUGGAACAUAUUCAAAAACUGUUAGACAGAAGCGAUGAUCUGUUAGGUGCUGAAAUGACUCGAUCUGAGUCCUUAAUUGAAGACAUAAAAAAUCUUCACGUUAAGUAUGAGGAACUUGAAAGUCGUCAUGAAACUCUCUCAACAACUCAUGAAAAGCUUUCCUAUGAUUAUCUUCAAAGGAAGCAAAAUCUUGAGAAAUUGAGAGCGGCUCAUGAAGAUCUUCAAAAGGAAAAUGAGUCACUUCGCGCCGAACAGAUCAGCUCCGCUCAGGGAGGAUUUGAACCACCAUGUCUUAAAUGCAUUGAGCGUGAUAAUGCUACUAUUGUUGUUGAAUGUUCUAUUGCUGCUACUGUUGUAGUAUCUUCAACUGUUGAUGUGGGAACUAACCCCUCUGCUGAGGAUUCCACUGCUAUUGCUGAUGAGAAUGCUAGGUUGAAGACAUUGCUUGAAACAGGGAUGUACAAAAGUCUUAAAGGGCAUCAGACACUAUGUGAUGUCCUCAAAAAGCAGAUCUUGAACCGAAACCCGAGGAAAGAGGGUGUUGGGUUCGUAAGGAAAAUGAAUGCUGAUGGCUCUUACUGGAAACCUGAGCAGUAUCCCCAAAACCACAUGGGUUGCUGCAAAGGAAUUUUCAGCAGAUCCAUCCACUCUAUCUGGGUUCACUUGUGCAAACCCCAUUGUCAUUGAUGAAUCCUUUGAUGCAAACAAUAAACUGUUUAAGAAUCAGAAUGGUGAAGUGUUUUCCAGGUACAUUGGUACUAACUGCAGGAAUGGACCGCCUAUGCAGAAGAUCUGGGUUCCGAAAAAGUAUCUGGAGAAUCUUCCUGUGAAUGUCAUCAUGACACCUCACAUGAAGAAGACAAACCUCAGACCAAAGGCUUCAUACAGUCCAAAGGCUUCAUACAGACAGAGGACUCACCUGAGUCGCACUAACGCAAAUGUUUUGUAGGGAAACCAUACUCAGGCCUAUGAAUAUGAGAGCGGUUCAUCAAACCGCCAUGUUCAUAAGACCAAGAACUGUUCUGCUUAUUCUUAUGAGUACUAUUGUCCGCCUGCAAGACUGUUUGCUAGGGCUCCAAAGCCAAAGUUCUCAGAUGCUGCACUCAGACUUAUUGCUUCUAAGCCACCCUUGAAGAUGUGGGUGGCUAAGAAAGCUUAACUCUCUUUUGCAGGGAAAGGUCUCCAGCAGAAAACCAAAAUCGUCUGACGCUAUUGCUGGGGACCUUAAACAUCUUGUAGGGCGCAAGAUCAAAUGCCCGAAUGGUCUUACUAUGUACUUCGUUCCUGAAUCGCUUGAUACUCUCCCUAUUAGUCCUAAUCUGGAUCUAAGCUUUCAUAACCCACUGGUUCGUCAAAUGUUUUUGCUUCACAAUUCUCUUCGUGAAGCCUAUCCCCUAACUGCACUGUAGGGUACGACACCAGCGUCUUCAGAAUGGAUUAUUGAUAGUGGGUGUGCAAAUCACAUGACUGGCAAAAUAAGCCUUCUUAUGGACUCAACCUUACGUCCAUCCGACAAGAGCCACAUCACAUUUGCUGACACUUGUAAAAGUAAGGUAUUGGGUCUAGGUAGAGUUGCAAUCUCAAGGGAUCAACACAUGGAUAAAGUCAUGCUUGUUGAAUCCCUUGGCUUCAACUUAAUGUCUGUCUCAAUGCUUUGCGAUUUAAACAUGAUCGUAAUAUUUGGAAAAUAUCGUUGCCUUGUUAUAAUGGAAUCUGACAAGUCUCUAGUAUUUGAAGGGUAUUGAAAAGAUGAUUUGUACGUGGUAGAUUUCUCAGCAGGACCACAGCUUGCCGUAUGUCUUAGAGCAAAAGCUUCAGAAUGUUGGCUCUGGCAUCGGAGGCUUGGGCAUGCUGGCAUGAGGAACCUCCACACCCUGGCAAAGAAGAAGCAUGUCAUAGGCAUCGAGGGCAUCAAGUUCAAGAAAGAUCACUUAUGCGGUGCCUGUGAGGCAGGAAAGAUGACGAGGGCCAAACAUCCCUCGAAGACAAUCAUGACUACUACUCGACCCUUCGAACUGCUUCACAUGGAUCUUUUUGGUCCCACUCAUUACUCAACUCUUACUACUACUGCUUGUCUCUAUGGCUUUGUCAUUGUUGAUGAUUAUUCUAGAUAUACUUGGGUGCACAUAAUACUUUACAAGACUGAAGUGCAGGAUGUCUUCAGACGCUUCGCCAAUCGAGCAAUGAACAACUAUGGCGCCAAGAUAAAGCAUAUCAGAAGUGACAAUGGCACUGAAUUCAAGAACACUGGCCUUGAUACAUAUCUUGAUACCUUGGGUAUCACACAUGAAUUCUCAGUCCCGUACACGCCACAGCAGAAUGGCGUCGUCGAACGCAAGAACAGAACACUCAUUGAGAUGGCCAAAACGAUGCUAGAUGAAUACAAGACUCCAAGAAAAUUCUGGCCUAAAGCCAUUGAUACUGCAUGCCAUACAAUCAAUCGUGUUUAUCUUCACAAGCUUCUGAACAAGACAUCUUAUGAGCUCCUUGCUGUCAAGAAGCCAAAUGUCAGUUACUUCAGAGUAUUUGGCGCCAGGUGCUGGAUCAAGGACCCACAUCACACCUCAAAGUUUGCACCAAAAGCACAUGAGGGUUUUAUUCUUGGAUAUGGAAAGGAUUCGCACUCCUACAGAGUCUUCAAUCUCUUUCAUUAUAAAGUGGUUGAAACAGUGGAUGUGCGGUUCGAUGAGACCAACGGUUCACAAAGAGAGCACCUGCCAAAUGUGCUAGAUGAAGUUCCAUCCAGUGAAUCAAUCAAGCUAAUGGGAAUUGGAGAAAUUAUACCUUCUGAAUCUCAUCCUGAAGAAGAACUUAUCAUCUCAGCACCUGAUCAACCUGAAGACAAUGCUCAGCCCGAAGACAUUCCCUCUAACAACGACAAUGAUCAGCAAGAGCAAAAUCUUCGCCCUGUACAUCCUCGUGUUGCCAAUGAAGUGCAGAUUGAAAGAAUAAUUGAUAGCAUCAAUGCACCCGGUCCACUCACUCGUUCAAGGGCAACUCAGCUAGCAAAUUUCUGUGGGCACUUCGCAUUCGUCUCAAUAACAGAACCCAAGAAAGUUGAAGAAGCCUUCAUGGAACCUGAAUGGAUUCAAGCUAUGCAAGAAGAGCUUCAACAGUUUGAGCUGAAUAAUGUAUGGGAACUGGUUAAGCGUCCCGAUCCUCGGAAGCACAACAUAAUAGGCACAAAAUGGAUAUACCGCAACAAACAAGAUGAGCACGGUCAAGUUGUCAGAAACAAAGCUCGUCUCGUUGCUCAAGGAUGUACUCAAGUGGAAGGCAUUGACUUCGAUGAAACAUUUGCUCCUGUGGCUAGACUUGAAGCCAUACGCAUACUACUGGCCUAUGCAAAUCAUCACAACAUACUUCUUUAUCAAAUGGAUGUGAAGAGCGCCUUUCUCAAUGGCAAGAUUGAAGAAGAAGAGUAUGUUGCACAACCACCUGGCUUUGAAGAUCCAAAACAUCCUGACAUGGUAUACAAGCUCAACAAGGCACUAUAUGGCCUCAAACAAGCCCCUCGGGCCUGGUAUGACACACUCAAAUACUUCCUGAAGAGCAAAGGCUUCAUACCUGGUUCCCUCGACCCUACUCUCUUAACGAAGACAUAUGAUGGUGAACUGUUUGUGUGCCAAAUAUAUGUGGAUGACAUUAUCUUCAGGUGCACCAAUCAGAAGUACAGUGAAGAGUUUGGAUUUAUGAUACGAGCAAUAUCAAAUGUCUAUGAUGGGAGAGCUGAAGUUCUUUCUCGGUCUUCAAAUACGACAGCAACGCAACGGCAUCUUCAUAUCUAGAGAAGUAUCUCAAAGAUUGCCUGAAGAAGUUCGGUAUGCAAGACUGCAAAGGCUUCACGACGCCAAUGCCAGCCAAGCAUCAUCUGGGUCCUGACGACAAUGGUAAAGAGUUCGAUCAAAAGAUUUCUUACAACAUCAUAUAGAUUCUCCCGAAGCCAGUUCCUGUCUGUCCAGCAAGCGAAAGCCCUUGAAGCCUUUGAACGUAUUGAAGCCUUUCAGUUUAAAGUUCAUGGCUUCAGAGAAAUCAGCAAGGAAGGGUGGCAGAAAGCAUCAUGGAGAAACAUCAAGAGAUCUGCCAGACGACCUCUCAGAACUGUACAAGACAGAUCCUGAAGAGGAUUACAAUCAGUGCAAAACACGAAUCCAAUGGAUCCGACGCUAUUGGGCAGAACAGUGGUUCAAGUACAAAUUUGUGACAAAGGAAUAUGCUGAAAAGAAUGCCAUCAAGCAACCAUGGGGAGACAUCCUCUACAAAAAUCUUCAACCCAGGACCAGAGAUGAAGCCAUUGAACAAGGCUUCUAUCCCUACAUGGUCCGUGGACCACAGCCUGCAGAUGCUGACCCAUCGUCACUGCUAUGGUGUCGUGAUGACAUUCUGUUCAAGCGCAACUUUCAGUUUGCCCAGAACUCAGCGAAGCAGAACAAGAAGACAUUGGGACUAGACUUCAACCCUGGUCCUUCUGCUCCAAGGGCUGAUGGCACCCGUGAUGUAGAACCCAAUGCCAUCGGUCCUUUCUACAACCUUGAAGGUCUCAUCACCCAUAUCUUGGUUCAAGGGACAACCGUGAAUGAGCCUGCAGCUGACGCUGAAUCAGAUGAAGUGCCUGCAGCGCCGAAGCCAAAGAAGUUGAAGAAGCCUAACGCUUCAAAGCCUGCCCCUUCACCAAAAAUCUCACGAGCGAAGCCACUGGCAACUGCACCUCCUGAAGACAGUGUGUAGUCUGAAGAUUUGUCACGCAUCUCCAAGCCCCAGAAGGUCAAGAUGCCUCUGCCACACACCGGCAAAGAGCUAACUGCUGCUGCCAUUCUGCGCAAUGAUGUCAUUGAUCUAUCAAGUGAUGAAGAUCUUGCAGAUGACGCUCUUGAGCAACUCAUCAAGAGCAAAGAAGAAGCAGAAAUCUUCAAUGAUCUGCCGCUCUUUGAUGUAACAAUCAUCCACAACUUCAUUGAUGAAUGGUUUGACACGCCAAACAUCAGCUUCGACGAUCUGCAACUACCCAUUGGCCUCAGUGUCGCCUUCCAUGGCGCCAUUGCUUCAGAGUUAGCCAUCGCCCAGCGCAUUGUUGAACUGAAGCAGAAGAUUGACUUUGAGAAAUCUCAGUUCAAGAAGCAUAUGGCCAAGCUCAGCGUGUAAGACGUGAAGAACUUCAAGAUUAUGCUGCACGAGCUCAAGGAAGCCUUUCUAAAGAAACGUGCAGAAGCUCAGGGUUCUCGUGAGCGCAUGAAGCUCUUGGCUGAUAGGUGUGUGUAAGCCUACAAUGAGGCUGAGAAGCGCAAGGCCCUUGGGCGUCCUGGCAUCGACCCCAGGAUGGCUGCCAAGAAGACGAAGAAGCCCGCUAUGGCUGAACCCGAAGCACCAAGGCAGGAAGCAGAUCCCCUUGUCUUCCCAACUAGCAUGACUGGCCCGAAGCCAAAGGCCAGGUCAACUGCUUCAGAACUUCAGAAGACCAGGACUGCUGAGGCUGAAGCAAGGAAGAGAAAACAUCCUGAAGCCUCUGCUACUGCCCCUGCCAAGAAGAAAAGAAAGACCAAGAAGGAACGGGCUGCUCCCACAGAGCCCUUGAUUGUUGAACCCAUUUCCAUGGUUCACCCGGACGCCGAUCCAACAGAACGUUAAGUGACUGUCCAUGAGCCUGCUUUCACAGAGGCUCAUGAAGCUGAAGACUUUCCAGUAGUUGAUCCCAUCGCUGCUGAAGACAUUGGUCACCAUGACCAUGUUGAAGAUGAUGCAGCCCUUCCUCAGCUAGAGCACCAACAGGUAUCAUCGCCUAUGCUCACGCAUAGCGAACUCAUCAGCAUUGGUCGUCCACUGACGCCAAUUGCACAGGAUGCUUCAUGGGCGGAUCGCCCACAAGAGGAAGAAGACUUUGAGGCCCAGCCAACAACAACUCCACAGGCGUCACCCACGUUGCGCAGGCUUCGCAAAGGUCCAAGGCCUCAAGUCUCUGCUGAAGACAAUCCGGCUGCAUCAGCCGCUGAAGAAGAAGUCCCACAAGUUGCCAAUCCCCUGUCCCACCAAGAAGCGGUUCUCGAGGAGAACGUGAUCGUGACCGACCCUCCUGCUCGUCAAGUGGAGGUUGAACAUCUUGAGGCUGCCACCACCAACACCACUGAAGCCACUGACGUUGUCAUGGCUGAAGCUAAUGUGGAGCCCUCACCAACAAAAGCACCAGAAGUCAGCGAAGCCACUGAUCCCGUCGCUUCUGUUCCUGCGUCUGCUGCCGGUCCCCAGUUCGACUAUCAUGUUGAGCACAUGCCUCAGGUGCAAAAGCCAAUCCCAAGAUUGCCAAAGUUCCCAGGUCCUGCAUCAGCACCUGGCUCCUUCAAUAUCAAUGGCUUCAGAGCAGACAACACAUUCUUCAAUAGCUCCAGGAACCCCUACUCAAGGGAAAGAAUAUCAUCUGAUCGGUUCUGGAGUUAUCCGCGGAGAAGCUAUUACUCAUGCGUUCUUUACAACCAAGGUCGCAUUUUCCACACAAGCGCCUUGACAUUAAAGCAAUAGCUGGUCUGCCCUGUCUGGAAAAAGUUCUGGAUUGCUUCAAAGAGGUUGGACUGCUGCCGUUCGUCACUGACCAAGAGCAUUGGAAUGAAGAGUUGUUGCUCCAAUUCUAUGCCACACUUCACAUCCGCGGGUAUAGCAGAGAUCCGAAGACUUGGGUCCUGGAGUGGAUGACAGGAAACGUUCAUCAUGAAGCCAAAGCCUUUGACAUCAUUGAGCUCAAUGGUUUGCCCACUCCUGGCGAUCUCUAUGAGCAUGGCUGUCAGCUUCAUAGUGAAGCUAUUGAGAGCAUCUUUCAGAAGACUGAACCUAAUAUGAGUCAGAUGCUCAGUAUGAUGAAGCCAUUGCCCCAAGAUGCUGCUUAUCCCACGGAGUUCUUCGUUGAAGACCUUGAGUAUCUGCCAAGAACCAUUUAUCACAUCCUGAGGCGAACUCUCUGGCCAAUCAAAGGACAUUCUCCCCAUGCCAAGCUAGAAGGUGGAAUGAAGACUUCGGUCUUCUACAUUCUUCAUGGAAAAUGCUUCAAUACAUAGGAUUUCUUCAUUCACCAACUUGCUGCAUCUGGCUCUGAUCUGUUUGGUUUGAAGUUCUACGCCCCUUUGGGUGAUGCGGCUGAUCAAACUUCACUCCGCUAUCUCAUAUCAUCCCUCUGCCCGCAAUCAUCGGAUCUUUUUGCCUGAUGUGGAUAUGUCUAUUGAAGCCAUCUAUCCUGAGCCUGCCAAGGAACCUCUAAGUCUUCAUAAUGCAGAGCAUCAAAGUUUUUCUCAGAACGUUGAAGGCGUUGAAGCCGUAACUCGUGUGUAUCCUUUGGCUGGCACUACACGUGCACCGCAUCCUGCUCUCACUGAAGCCACUGACAGUACAACUGCUCCACGACCCAAGAAGCGCACUCGUGUUCUCAACGACCGAGAGCUUCUUCUGGAUCUUCAUCAGAAACAGGAUAGGCAUCAUGACUGGCUGAAGCAUCAAAUGCAAAGCCUCUUGGUGGAUUUUAAUCGCAUUCGCAGUCUUGCCACCAAGAAUGCUUUUGUUGCCAUGAAACCUCUCGCCGCACAUGGAAAGGGCUGACGCUGAUGUGUUCUGAAGAUGAUCUUCAAGAGGAUGGCUUCUCUGAGCGAUUCAAGUUUGACUCCACACCUCCUCGAAGGGCAGUGCUGCGAUGAACUCCAUCCCUUGAAGACUCUGAGUUCUCUUCCUCUGCUGCAACUGUGAAUGCCAGAGUGAUCGAGGAUGAAGACGAUGCUACUUCACCGCCACCUCCUUCAGCACGCUUUGACUCUGCUCCAAGCUCUUCUGCACCGCCAAACACCACCAACGACCCUGCUGCUUCACCUACUCUUCAUGGGAACGAGUAGAUGCUCUAUGUCUUUAAACCUUUUUGGUCCUUACUAACAAAAGGGGGAGAAGCAUAUGAGUUUUAUAGAAUUCAAGCGGGUCCAUAUGGGCGGGCGCUUUAUAUUUUGCUUCGUGCUUACAACUCCCGUUUUGCUACAUUGGGUUCUUUGAGUUGUAACACUUAAACUCGAUGGCCGGCUGCUACUUAUUUGCCACCUUGUGUUGCGAUGAUAAAUUCCGCAUGUACGACGAUAAAUUCCGCACUUAGAUCAUUCUGCAGACGUCCAUUUUCCAUUAUGCAUGUCAUUAUCUUCACAUACUUUCUCAUGCAUAGUGGAUUGUCAUCAUAAGUUGAAGUGGAUCUCCACAAGUACAACCUGCCAUGUGCAUUUGCAUUCCAAAAGCAAAUUACUUAUAUGCACAUCUUCAGGGGGAGCCCUUGCAACUUAUGAAGACAAUUCCUUAUCCUUUACAAUUUCACAGACUAUAUUCCCCGUUGAAAACUUCAACUAGUUUGUCAUCAAUCACCAAAAAGGGGGAGAUCGUAAGUGCAUCUAGUGCCACCCCUAGUUGGUUUUGGAGUAUUGACGACAAACCUAGUUGAGGGACUAAUGUGUUUGUGAGAAUUGCAGGAUAACACAGGUAGAAGUCCCUCAUUGAUUCGGUUUUCCUACCAGAGAUGACCCCUAAAAAUGUAUGAAGACAUUGAAGUCAAAGGUGGUAUAUGAAGAUAUUCACAUUAAAGACUAUGACAAGAGAAGACAUCGCAUGAAGCCUAUGGAGCUCGAAGACUUAGAUCUUUCGUAGUUCUUUUUCUUCCUCUUUGUUGAGUCAUAGGAACCACCGUACUGUUAAGUGGGGUCCAAGAGAACCAGUCAGAAUGACUGAAGUGAUGCUUAAACAAAACCUAUGUCUUCGAGUGAAGACUUUGAGAGCGAAUCUUGUCCAGAGUCGGACAAGUCAGCUUUGCUUGUAGCCCAAGUAAAGUUGCCGUGUGAGUUUGAAAUCUGACCGUUGGAACACGUGUCAGUUCCUUAGUGACCCAUGGUCAUUUCGGACAAAUCAGGUCGGGUUGCCAAGUGGCUAUAAAUAGCCCACCCCCUACAACCAUAAACGGUUGGCUGCUCAGAUUCAGAGUACGGCUUUUGUCGUUUGAGAGCAACCCACCUCGAAGCCUUUGAGAGAGAAUUCCUUGCGAGGAAAAAGCCCUAACCACCCAGAGCCAAAGAGAAUUAGGCAUCACUUAAGUCUUCUUGUCUGUGUGAUAUGAAGACUUAUUACACUUGAGGACUAUGAAUCCUCCAGCCGGUUAGGCGUCGCGUUCUGAGCAUCCAAGAGACAUUGUGGAUUGCCGGUGAACGAAGUCUGUGAAGGUUUAGGAGUCUACCUUGAAGACUUACCAGAGUGAUUGGGCGAGGUCUGUGUGACCUUAGCUCAAGGGGAAUACGGUGAGGACUGGGUGUCCUUAGCUGCGUGUUCAGGACUGGGUGUCUGGGACUGUGUGUCCUAAGGUUUAAAUACCUAGCCGCCUUAACCAGACGUACAGUUGUCACAGCAACUGGAACUGGUCCAACAAAUCAUUGUCUUCAACGAGUCACUGGUUUCAUCUUUUCCUUCCCUUUACUUACUGUUGGUCCUUGUGAAGUCAUUGUAUGAUUGCACUAUCUUUUAUCUUCACUGAGUGAUUGCGUUUUCUGUUUGGCUUCAUAAUAUCUUCCUACCUGAUCCUUACUACAUUGCUGCUAUUAGUCAUUGUGCUUUCACUCCAUUGAAUACUUGACUAUGGCUUGCCUAGUGUAGUCUACCUUCCGCUGCAGGGUAAUAGGUUUAUUUCUAUCGUUUGUCUUCAUAACUUCCACGUUUUGAAGACUUUCAUGAAAAUCGCCUAUUCACCCCCCUCUAGUCGAUAUAACACACUUUCACUUUUCGAAGGUUGAGGUACACGACUUCCGAAGGUUUCUUGGUUAUGUGUUGAAGGAUGGAUACAGCUGGAUGUAGGAAUUGUUAGUUUGGGUGAGAUAUUAUGCUUCCCCUGUAUCCCCAACACCUGAUUGCAUAACUAGAAAGUUUCGGGAGUUUAUAGGUGGGAAUUCAAGUAUCACGUAGGAUAUCUUUCCAACAGACACAUGAUACGAUAUGGGAUCUAUCAUAUGUUUGUUUCCGGCUUAUUUUGCAAGCCAAUCCUUUGUUUUGUUUCGGUUUGUGGUAUUCGAGUUGCUUCAAUGUCAAGCGUAGAUUCCAUACCUUUCCUAAGCAGUGUUCUCAUAUUUCUCUGUGUAUACUAAUCCUUCAUGAUAAUCGAGAUUGUCAUGUCAAUCCUUUUCAACCGGCGUGUUCCUCCUUAAGUGGAUCCGAUCAUUUUCAACAUCCGCAAGAUCAACUCUAAGUUAUUCUCAUCGGUAUUUGUUUCAUCCAUCCAAAGUUGCCUUUGUUUUCCCCGCCUCCCCACCCUUUCUUUUCUUCAAGGACUCAUAUAUCUUAAUCAAGUAUCCUUUUAUCGAUGGGAAGUCUCUCCAUUCUUUUCUGUCAAUGUUCUUACCAGGUGGUUCUCAUGAAGAUGCUCUUCAGGUUCAUCAUACUUCAUUGUUGUUUCUUCUUUGAUGGAUUCAAUGCAAUCUUUCGGUGUUGAUCAUAUCCUUCCCUCAUUUCAAAUGCUUUCCCAUGUCGGUGAACCUCUUAAUCAUCCACUUCUCUCCAUUCAUUUGUUCCGGAGUACUGAAGAUAUCUCAGGAGAUGCGUGUUUUCAUUCCUAAUCCGUUCAAGCUAUCUCGAGGUUGUUAUCUCAUUUAAGCCGUUUAAUUCAACCGGUGCAAUCUCCUUUUCAAGUAAUUGUUCAACGGUGUUUUCUCUUGAGUGGGCCCUAACCCAUAGGUCUUAUCCCAGGAUCUUACCUGACUCUUCUAUUUUCCCGGCGCUAUUCUCAAAUCUUUUAAAGUUUGUCGUAAGAAUGAGUUAUCGUCAGUCAAAUGCUUUUCUCCAAGAUCUUUCAAAUUCUUUUCAUCGUUGGCUCUACCUUUCUAAUUUCCAUUCCGGAGUGUCUCAACAAUUCAUGGUGUUUCUCGUCGUCAUUCUUGGAUUUUGAAGACCAAAGUGGAGUUCAUCUUAAAUCCUUACAUGUUCUUCCAAAGAUGUGUAAUUCAAGCUUGAUGCCAUCCUCUCAUAAUAGUUUUCGAUUGUGAGAAUUUUUUUCAUACCCAUCCGAAGCAUUUCAGGAGUCUUUUCAGUUUGAUUCUCCGGAGGCCAUCAUUUCGGAAGAUUUAUUCGUUCUCAACAUUCAGAUCUCAUUCCUCAAUUCUACCGGCCGGUGCAUCGUUCAAAUAUUCUCUAAUCAGUUCAUGAUCUAUUCUGUCUCGCGUAUUUAUAUUCUCUCAAGUAUCUUCGUUCUUUUCAUAAUUCUUCCCGGUGUUUCUUCAUCUUUUCUUUGUUCAUUUUCAAUUCUGACGGUGGUUCAUUCAAGAUUUCUCUUCCUUCGUUAUCAUAUAGAUUCAUUCAUUCUUUCAAAUCCUACCGGCGGUUCGUUGAAGUCUCUUCUCAAGUUUGCGCUAUAUCUAUCUUAAUCCUUUCUACAAAAAUAAGUAGUAUGCCAAAUCCGUUGCUUGUCAUCAAUUUAAAUUAGUGAAGGAUACACAUAACGUAAUUCAUAUUAUUGUUUCACCCAAGUGAGUAAUUCCUCCCUCUAGAGUUUGUUCAUGAUGAAUAAAUUCUUGGUUUCAAUUGCCCAUCUUUCUUUUCUGGAGUUCCAAGUUUUCUCGGUUACAUCGUCGCGAAGCUCCAUCUAAAUCAUUGCAAGGCUUCACCUUAUGUUCUCAACUUCUCUUUCUUUUUAUCAUCCUUUUAUUAUCGGAAUUCUUCAUGGGGGCUCUACAUGAUGGUUCAUCGAGGAUUUAAUUCCUUCUCGAAGUGCUCAUCGAGAUUCUUUUCAGAGGAGAUCAAGAAUUCUUCUUCUUGCAUUCCAAAGUGCAAUUCUUUCUACCUUAUCAUUUGAGGUGGUGUUAUGUCAUUGUUGAUAAUUUCCCUUCAUGUUUCAUGAUUCACAAGUUUUCAAGAGUGACAUAUCUAAAUCCAUCAUUUUCUCUUCGCUCAAGACAUACUUUCAACCAAUCAACCUCUUCAUUGGAAUUAUCUUGGGAUAUAUUUCACUUAAAGCUUUCCCUAAGGAUUUAUGCUAUUUAUGGUGCUUAUAAAUGACCCAAGUUCUUCAUUUAUCCUUCCGGUGAAAUAAGCUUCUCAUCUUCUUGUUGAUGUCAAUUCAAUCUAUUGUUUCUGUUAGUGGUAGAAUUUCACCUCAUAAUUUUGGGAUGUUUUCCAUAAGCCCACUACAAGCUUUUUCGUUUCAUUGGUGGUUUUCCAGCAACUCCGUUAUAACCUUCUUGGAAGGGUGUUUUCCAAGCUCAUUUGUGGUAGAAGUUGUCAUUUUCUAAUCAUGUAUUUCCUUUCCAAUGAUUCAACUUCUAUUCUUUCGUUCCGGAGGCAUAGCGAUGUUGCUCUCUUCACUCAUCAUCCCAUUUUUGUCAAAGAACAUGUUUUUUUUUCCUUUUUGCUUAUCCAUUCAACUGGAGUGAUGUGUCCUUCAUUCAAGUUCUUUCAUCUUAUCAAGUUUUGCCUCCCUUCUCAACUGGAGUGUCGUCUGAAAUCUUUCUUACCCCUUGUGCCAUUCUUUCAAUAGUUCUGGAGGCAGUGUGUUGUUGAUUUCAUCAAGUAUCCUCCCAUCUUGUCAAGAUCAUGUUCGAUUCCUUCCAUUUAUAGUCGAAGUGUUGUCCAAAUUAUAUCAUUCUUAUUCCUUCUCUAUCUUGUUUUAACCGGAGUGUUGUGUCUAUAAUUCCUCUUCUAACCGGAGUGCUUGCAUGUACUUCUUGUCCAUUGCAACCCCUUUUCUUAUGUCUUUCAACCUACAAGGUUCCCGUAAUGUUCCUUGUUCUUUUUUUAACGGAGUGUUUCAACUUUUUUCACCUUCGUUGUAUUCUUUCUUUCAAUUUGUUCAACCUCGCAAGGUUCUUUGGUUUCACAUAUUUGUCAAAGAAGCAAUUAGUUUUACCUCUUCUCUUCCUCUUCCGUUUCUCUCCGGUGCCAUCCUUAGAUCUCGGGAUGAGAUCCUCUUGUACUGGUGGAGUGUUGUAACGCCCCGAGCCCAAUGCUCCAGGUGUCUUUCAGUUUUUCGCUGUUGUUGCCUUGUCUUUCGCUUGCUGUUGCAUCUUGCCAUGUCAUCAUGUGAAUUGCAUCAUCAUGUUUUCAAAACUUGCAUUCGUCCGGGUCUACCAGUGCUUUCCAUUGUCCGUUCUGAGCCCAGACACACUCGCACGCGCCCCGCGGCACCUCCGAAAUAUUAUUUUAUAAGUGGCCAGAAAAUGUUCUCGAAAUGGGAUGAAAGUUGGCGUGCUGUCUUAUUAUAGUGUAGAUAGACCGCGUGUCAAAUUUCAUCGCAUACGGAGUCCGUUUGACGCCCCGACAGAUAACUAUAGCGGCAUUAUAGUCGGUCAAACGUCGGACGUUUCUGGUCUCCGAAAACGGUUGCCGGGUUGCUUUCCUCCUCUCUCUUCUCAGUCCAACCGCACACUUGACCUUGUUCGUCUAACCCUCUCUGCACAGUGCAUCGACCCCCUCGCGCGUCCGAAAGCUGUCCCGAACCCGACCCGGAUAGUCGUCACCGUUGGAUUAGGAUCAUCCCCAAACAUCUACAAAACAUCUCCGAUUCUUUGCUCGGUUCCCCUAAGCUAUUUAUUCUCGUCCGCCCGAUUACGAUCGGAGGGACGAGGUAGCCCCUAAUCUAAUCCACGCAAUGUAUAUAUGCGUCCAAACCCUAGUCCUAGGAUCUGUCCCAUCCAUCUUCUCCCAUCGCGCCGCCGCCACCCACUCACCAUCUCCAUCGGGAUCCUCCCAGAUCCACCUCUCCGCCACCGAAGCCUCCGGACACUUCCCUCGUUUUCAGCUUCUGACCAACCACCUCCUCCCAUCGAUCCAACCCAUGAAGCAUGGAAGCCCCGCAGGCAUCCAGCGCGCCCACAAGCUACUUCUCCCUGAUGCCCAUCGUCCCCGCCAUGGUUUUGGAGCUCAUAUCGGUUGCCGAUCUGAGCCACCCCGGGAAUCGACGCCGCCGGAGUCCCUCCUCACCUACAAGACCACCGCCGCUCUACCACCUCGUCUCCUCGUCCGACGCGACUCCUACCUCCUCUGCUUCUCCCUGUGCCGAACGACAAGCCGCAGCCCUCGUCCCAAGGUCCAGGCCGUCGCCGCGUGCCCAAGCUCCUCCGCCCCCCUGCAGACUCAUCUCCGGCCGUGCCGGUGACUAGUGGCCGCUCGCCGGAGCACACCGAACCAAUAGCUGCUCCAUGCCGUCGCCCCAGUCUUCCUCGCCCUCCUUCUCCUCCUUCCCCGCUGCUCUCUGUCUCUGAAAGUCCCUGCCUCCCAUCCCUGCAGGUGUGGUCGUCGACCGCCAUGGAGCCGCUGCCCUCGUUGUUCACCCGGAUGGGUCCCGAUCUGGAUCGCUCUGCUGCCGGGUCCAAGCCGCCGCCGUCCCAGGCUUCUACAGCCGCGCCGCCAUCAUCCCGGACGUCCCUGCUUCGCCUUGUCCAUCACCGUGGUCUCUGCUUCCUUUUGCACCGAGCCCGAGCCAGAGGACGAGCAGUUCGUUCGAUCCCUGCUCCCCUACCUCGCGUUGACCGUGCCUACAGCGCGCCAGGCCGCAGCCCAACCGCUUUCCCCUGCCAGCUGGGCUUGGCCCAUGGGUGAGCCACAAGCGCCCUCCUGUUUUUUUUCCAUUGUUGGGCCAGCUAGAUACGGCCCGAUGUGUUUUUUUUCGUACUGCAAAUUUAUCAUUUAACCUGGUCAUUGCAUAUUUACACGAUAUGCCAUCAUAUUGAAAUGCUCACAACUAAAUAACCGUGCAUCAGAUUAAAAUGUUUUAUGUAUGUAAAAUGCGUAGAAUUUUGUGUAGUUUCAUAAUAUCCAACUUCCAUGCAUGUUUAAAAUGUUUAAAAUGCUAUUUGAUUAAAUUUGCUCAAAUGCCAUGCUAAAAUGAUUUAUUUCAUAACUAAUUAACCGUAGCUGCAUUUUAAAUGAACUUUAUAUGUAAAUGGGGUAGAAAAAUGCCUAGUUUAACAUGGUGGCAUUACUUUGCAUGUUUAAUAACUCUAAAAUUGUGUUUAGGACAGAACAGUACCAAAUUCAAAUAUUGCAUAUGGGGAUUUUUCGGAAUUGUUGCUUGUUGUUCCGGCCUCAUUUAAACUUGCCUAGAUAGGUAGUUUUAUUAUGCUUCACCCCUUGCCAUGCUAACCAAUAUUUAAUUUUGUUGAGUACAUAAACAGGAGAAAACUAAAUAAGUCAUGUGGUGUUUCGUCAAUAUGCAACUCGUUGCAUAUUGAGCUCCACUUAACUUGUAGUUUUGCUUGUGCACUUCGCCAUGCCAUGCGUCAUUAAACCGGACAUGCAUCAUACUUGGUUGUGCAUCAUGCCAUGUUUAUGUAAUGGUUGUUUACUAUGUUGCUUGCUUUUUUCCGGGUUGCUUCUCUCGUUAGCUUCGGUUUUGUUUCGGAGUUGUGAGGAUUCGUUCGACUACGUCCGUUUGCCUUCUUCAUGGACUCGUUCUUCUUCCUUGCGGGACCUCAGAAAAGAUGACCAUACCCUCGAAAUCACUUCUAUCUUUGAUUGCUAGUUGUUCGCUCUACUGCUAUGUCGCGCUACCUACCACUUUCUUAUCAUGCCUCCCAUAUUGCCAUGUCAAGCCUCUAACCCACCUUUCCUAGCAAACCGUUGUUUGUCUAAGUUACCACUUUGCUCGGCCCCUCUUAUAGCGUUGUUAGUUGCGGGUGAAGCUGAAGUUUGUUCCAUGUUGGAACAUGGAUAUGUUGGGAUAUCACAAUAUCUAUUAUUUAAUUAAUGCAUCUAUAUACUUAGUAAAGGGUGGAAGCCUCGGCCUUAUGCCUGGUGUUUUGUUCCACUCUUGCCGCCCUAGUUUCCAUCAUACCGGUGUUAUGUUCCUUGAUUUUGUGUUCCUUACGCGGUUGCAUGUUAUGGGAACCCCUUGACAGUUUGCUUUGUGUCAGCGUUCUGGGAAUGGGGGUCCCCAGACUUGCCUGCCUGCGGCCUACGGCGUGGCUCGAGGAGGGGCCCAGCACGGCCCAUCUUCAUCAACACAGACCCAAGACCCUCGCGAGGGGUCAAGCCUCGCGGGGCGUACGACACAGAGCUUCCUCAGGCACGGCCUCAUCAGGCUGGCUCGCAAGGAGGCGGAGAGAUCAAGGCGGGGCACCACACGACGUGCCCGUGACGCAAGCCAUGACGACCAAGGGUGCCAGGCGGGCGUCAGCCCGCGCAGUGUCCUCCUUUCCUCUUUGGUGCAAAGGGAGUAAGCGCAGGCGAGGGCAUCAAGCAAAGGCACCCGUUUGGGUGCAACGAGACCAAGACCAGCCCAACGGCAGGGAGGAAGUCAUUGUGGAGCCCAAGCCAUCGUCACCACCAGAGCCUUUGGCAGGCGAGGACCAACUUUAGUUAGGAUAAGUGUACCAGAUGUUCCCCUUUGAAAUGGCCAAUUGUUGGCGCCCUUCCCGCUCAAUAUUUGGGAAGAGGCCCAGGGCCUUUGCCUAUAAAUAGGACUAGCCACCCCCAAGGUAGGAAGGGGAAAAAUCAGAGAGAGAGAGAGAAGGGUGACCGAACUCCUCCUAGCAGUUCGUCCCCCCAGCCAAGAACAGACCCUCGCGAGGCUGUUCUUCCUUGUAUUGCUCAUCAUCAUUAGCCCAAGAGGCAAUCCACCACACCACACACUUGAGUAGGGUAUUACACCACAACGGUGGCCCGAACCAGUAUAAACCCUGUGUCUCUUGUGCUGUUCUUUCCAUAGCUUGGAUCUUAGCGAGGCAGAGGGGUGCAGGUAGGUAGAAGGCGAAAUCUCCGCGCGCACCCCAGUGUUCGAACCUCAAGGGUCUGCCGGAACCCGAAAUCCGACAUUUG
rnacentral:lncRNA from 1 species